rnacentral:lncRNA from 1 species
GGGUUUAUUAAUAUGGAUCCACCUUUUCCUAGUCCUACGCAUUUAGCCAUACAUGUUUAUAGAAUCAAACAAUCAAAACAUGCUGAAGAUGUUCGAAUGUCCAAGUUAUUUAGAGACCUUACAAUCACAGGUAAUCAAUUCUUAACAUUAUAACCAAACACUACACAAAUGUGAGACUUGGAACAUUCAAACUCCUAGUUUACUAAAGAAAAGCAUAAGUACUAACUCUUAGCCAUAAAUAAGAAGUAACAACUAACAUAAACUAGUAAAACAUAUCAAAUGCUGAAGAUAUACAAAAGAAUGACAGGCCGAAUAGCCCAUCUCCACUUUAAUCCAUGUAAUGCUUCAAAUUUGCCACUUCAAGAGUAAGAAUCGUACCUGGAUACAGUCAAAAUAACCACACAAAAAAAACUUUAGCAAGGUAACAAAGGAGAUCAACAUAGCUUCAGACCACAGUACAUAACAGUAGCACUAUUAAUUUGAUCUAUGCUUCAAACCCAACAAAACAACAAUGUGUUCAAGUUUCGUUUUAAAAACCCAAAAGAUGAAAAUUAGCUGCAACGGAAUAGUAUUGGAGACUUUUUGUGUUUUCUUUCUAAUUUUGGGACAUAUAUCACUAUGUGUAUAAUUUUAGCCAUUUGCUCUUUUUGGUAUUCUGAUCUCUGCCUAAAGUAUGAGUAAAAUAGGCUUUAUAUAGAGAGAAUUAAGGACAACAUCAUCUGAUUUUAUUCAUUCAAAAUUACCCUUUCAUCAAUUCCCCUUUUGUUCAAUUUAAAUGCUGAAUUUUAAACCUAUUUGCUGAACUACCAUAUUCCUACCUUCUUAGAACCUUCCCCAAGCAGUUAGGAAAGAUUUCUCUUAUCCAAUUUUCCUAAAUACCCUUUAGAAGACUGUUAUUUUCCUUAUCAAAAUCCAACCAAUGCGUUAGACAACCAGAAUUGAAACCCUACCCCUUUUUGGGCUUCUGACCUACGAAGCCCAAAUUCUAAUCCAAAACCAACAACCCACUACAAAAGCAGACCAACGGAUUUGUAAACUCAUGAUAUCAGAAUUCCAAAGAAACAAAGCGAAAGGAGAAUGGAGCAAAAAAGCAAACACAAAAUCAAAAGUACUAAAAAAAAUAUGUUAAACUAUAUUAUUAAGCUAAUAUUACUAUAAACUAAUUUAAAUCUAACAUGUAAGCAGGAAUCGAAUUUAACUAGAAAGAAAGAAAGAAAGAAAGAAAGAAAGAAAGAAAGAAAGAAAGAAAGAGAAAGAAUCAAGAAGAAACAAGUAAUCAACAAAGGAAAAAUGACGGACCAACCAAAGAAUCAGAAAGUAUUGGCAAAGGAAGUAGAGAUGAAUGACUGGCCACUCGAAAUGUUUCAUCGAAGCUGAAAACUUGCCCCAUUGAACACUCUUAAUCAAGAAUGCUCUGUCAAGGCGAGCUUCAAGCCCCUGAUGAGCAAAAAUCUUCAACACAUUUCCAACCCCAAGAUUAGGUCAAACCCUAGAUUCAAAAUUCAAAAAAUUCUAGAUUUCGUUUAGGAAAAUCAUCAUGGGAUUUGGGUUUGGGGAGGCCUAGGGACUAUAGGGUAUUAAUUUUGGCGGGUUUGGGUGAAUUAGGGUUUUUGGAAUCCGAUUUUGGAUCUAAAAUUCGAAGAGCUUGAUGAUGAUUUGAAGGAAGCUGGUUGGGGAUUUUGGAUUAGGGGAUAAAGGGGUGUUAAAUUAGUGGGGAUUGGAGUGGUGUGGGAUGACGCUGCCGAUAGAGGGUUAUAGGAAUUCGGGGCGGCAGAUUUGAUUAGGGUUUUGGCAGGUUAGGGAAUGAGAGAUGAAACUGGGGGAGGGGGGACCGGUUCCGACACUUAAACAACCAUAGGAUCCCAAGUUCCCAACGGUUUAAUCAAUGGAGAUCAACGACUGGGAUCAAACGCCUCCGAAAUAGCAUCAUUUUGGUUUGGGGGUUGGGCUAGACCGGAUUAAGGAUUGGAACUGGGCGGAUAAGUGAGGUACAAAUGACUUGGGAUUUGGAUAAAAUAGCCCUAAUACAACAGCCCUGCUUUUUAACUUUUUCUUUCCUUUUUUUCAAUGUUCUUUCCCUAUUUUAAGUAAAACUCCUAAAAAUGAUUAAUUUGGGGAAAAACUAACAUGAUCAACUACUAAAAUAUUUAUGAAAACUAAUUACUUCUAAAUUUAAAGGAAAAUAAUGAAUUUAAAAUAAAAGGCUAAAAAUAUAAAAGUAAGCCAACUUUUUGUGAUUUUUAUCUUUAAUAAAGCAACUAAUUUACU